GCUGAUGGAUGGAUCGGAAUUUAUUGUGAAAAAUAAUGUCCUUUCGGAAACUACGGAAUAAACUGUGAGGGGAAAUGUAGUUUACACUGUGGAUUUAACGACACGUGCGAUAUAUACGAGGGAACUUGUCCACGGGGAUGUCAAGAACCCUACACAGGAUCAAACUGCUCACAGCUGCUAAGUGACAUCCUUCAUCCGAUAUCUACCAGAGAUUCCACUCUUCCCAUUCCCAUGCCCUGCUUUCUAGGAAUCACUCUGUCUGGAGUGCUUAACUUGUGUCUAAUGCUAGGAAUGUGUUAUAAGCUGCAGGGCGUGCUCAAGGAAAAAGUGUAACACUGUUUCUUCUCAAAACAUCCAAAGUUCCAGCUACAUUAGCAAUGAAAGAGGAAUCACUUCGUAUGAAAUACACAACUAUCAAGAAUUAAGAAAUUCCAAAGAAGAAAUCCAUUAUCAAGAAAUUACUUCAAUUUGAAUUGUACUACAAUUGCCAAAAUAUUUUUUUGUCUCACCACACUAACCCUUACCUUAAACCUGUGACUGAG